rnacentral:tRNA from 1 species
GAGAGAGGCAAGGAGCACUGAGGACCGCUAAUCCUUCAGCACCAUGGUUCAACUCCAUGGCUCACUCG